rnacentral:rRNA from 1 species
GAUGAACGCUAGCGGGAGGCCUAACACAUGCAAGUCGAACGGGAUUGGGAGCUUGCUCCCAUGAGAGUGGCGCACGGGUGAGUAACGCGUAUGCAACCUACCUGUAACAGGGAGAUAGCCCAGGGAAACUUGGAUUAAUACCUCAUAGUUCUUUUGGUCCGCAUGGACUGAUAGUUAAAGCUCCGGCGGUUUAAGAUGGGCAUGCGUGACAUUAGAUUGUUGGUAAGGUAACGGCUUACCAAGUCUACGAUGUCUAGGGGGUCUUAAAGGAUGAUCCCCCACACUGGUACUGAGACACGGACCAGACUCCUACGGGAGGCAGCAGUGAGGAAUAUUGGUCAAUGGGCGCAAGCCUGAACCAGCCAUCCCGCGUGAAGGAUGACAGCGCUACGCGUUGUAAACUUCUUUUGUACGCCAAGAAAUGUUACUACGUGUAGUAAUUUGACGGUAGCGUAGGAAUAAGGACCGGCUAACUCCGUGCUAGCAGCCGCGGUAAUACGGAGGGUCCAAGCGUUAUCCGGAUUUAUUGGGUUUAAAGGGCGCGCAGGUGGGGAUGUAAGUCAGUGGUGAAAUUCUGCCGCUUAACGGUAGAACUGCCAUUGAUACUGCAAGUCUUGAAUAUGGUUGAGGUAGGCGGAAUGUGUUGUGUAGCGGUGAAAUGCAUAGAUAUGACACAGAACGCCGAUUGCGAAGGCAGCUUACUAAGCCAUUAUUGACGCUGAGGCACGAAAGCGUGGGGAGCGAACAGGAUUAGAUACCCUGGUAGUCCACGCCGUAAACGAUGUUCACUCGCUGUCUGCGAUAUACAGUAGGCGGCUAAGCGAAAGCAUUAAGUGAACCACCUGGGGAGUACGAUCGCAAGGUUGAAACUCAAAGGAAUUGACGGGGGCCCGCACAAGCGGAGGAGCAUGUGGUUUAAUUCGAUGAUACGCGAGGAACCUUACCUAGACUUAAAUGUAGAUUGCAUAGGGUAGAAACAUCCUUUUCCUUCGGGACUAUUUACAAGGUGCUGCAUGGUUGUCGUCAGCUCGUGCCGUGAGGUGUCGGGUUAAGUCCCAUAACGAGCGCAACCCCUAUCGUUAGUUGCCAGCGGAUCAUGCCGGGGACUCUAACGAAACUGCCGGCGCAAGCCGAGAGGAAGGUGGGGAUGACGUCAAAUCAGCACGGCCCUUACGUCCAGGGCUACACACGUGUUACAAUGGCCGAUACAAAGGGCAGCUACCAGGUGACUGGAUGCUAAUCUCGAAAGUCGGUCUUAGUUCGGAUCGAAGUCUGCAACUCGACUUCGUGAAGCUGGAUUCGCUAGUAAUCGUAGAUCAGCAACGCUACGGUGAAUACGUUCCCGGGCCUUGUACACACCGCCCGUCAAGCCAUGGAAGCUGGGGGUACCUUAAGUCUGUCACCGCAAGGAGCGGCCUAGGGUAAAACUGGUAACUGGGGCU